GUAGGGAAUCUUCCGCAAUGGACGAAAGUCUGACGGAGCAACGCCGCGUGAGUGAAGAAGGUUUUCGGAUCGUAAAACUCUGUUGUCAGAGAAGAACAAGUCGGAGAGUAACUGCUCCGGCCUUGACGGUAUCUGACCAGAAAGCCACGGCUAACUACGUGCCAGCAGCCGCGGUAAUACGUAGGUGGCAAGCGUUGUCCGGAUUUAUUGGGCGUAAAGCGAGCGCAGGCGGUUCCUUAAGUCUGAUGUGAAAGCCCACGGCUCAACCGUGGAAGGUCAUUGGAAACUGGGGAACUUGAGUGCAGAAGAGGAGAGUGGAAUUCCAUGUGUAGCGGUGAAAUGCGUAGAUAUAUGGAGGAACACCAGUGGCGAAGGCGACUCUCUGGUCUGUAACUGACGCUGAGGCUCGAAAGCGUGGGGAGCAAACAGG
rnacentral:rRNA from 1 species